UCAGGACGAACGCUGGCGGCGUGCCUAAUACAUGCAAGUCGAACGGUCUUUCUAUGGAAGCUUGCUUCCACUGAGAAGAUAGUGGCGGACGGGUGAGUAACACGUGGGUAACCUGCCCAUAAGAGGGGGAUAACAUCCGGAAACGGGUGCUAAUACCGCAUAGUUUUCUUGAUCGCAUGAUCGGGAAAGGAAAGACGGCCUUUGUGCUGUCGCUUAUGGAUGGACCCGCGGCGUAUUAGUUAGUUGGUGAGGUAACGGCUCACCAAGACGAUGAUACGUAGCCGACCUGAGAGGGUGAUCGGCCACAUUGGGACUGAGACACGGCCCAAACUCCUACGGGAGGCAGCAGUAGGGAAUCUUCCGCAAUGGACGAAAGUCUGACGGAGCAACGCCGCGUGAGUGAAGAAAGGUUUUCGGAUCGUAAAACUCUGUUGUCAGAGAAGAACAAGUCGGAGAGUAACUGCUCCGGCCUUGACGGUAUCUGACCAGAAAGCCACGGCUAACUACGUGCCAGCCGCAGC
rnacentral:rRNA from 1 species